UACAGAGGGGGCAAGCGUUGUUCGGAAUUACUGGGCGUAAAGGGCGCGUAGGCGGCCUGCUAAGUCGAACGUGAAAUCCCCGGGCUCAACCCGGGAACUGCGUCCGAUACUGGCAGGCUUGAAUCCGGGAGAGGGAUGCGGAAUUCCAGGUGUAGCGGUGAAAUGCGUAGAUAUCUGGAGGAACACCGGUGGCGAAGGCGGCAUCCUGGACCGAAAUUGACGCUGAGGCGCGAAAGCCAGGGGAGCAAACGGG
rnacentral:rRNA from 1 species